rnacentral:rRNA from 1 species
CCCGGCGACCGGCGCACGGGUGAGUAACACGUAUGAAACCUGCCCGUAGCAGGGGGAUAAGCGGAAGAAAUUCCGUCUAAUACCGCGUAACAACCCAUGGAGGCAUCUCUGUGGGUUUAAAGGAAGCGAUUCCGGCUACGGAUGGUCAUGCGUCGCAUUAGCUUGUUGGCGGGGUAACGGCCCACCAAGGCGACGAUGCGUAGGGGUUCUGAGAGGAAGGUCCCCCCACACUGGUACUGAGACACGGACCAGACUCCUACGGGAGGCAGCAG